GGCUCUCCGACGUGUUCGCCAUGAUCGGGCUGCAGGAGUUCUUCUACGACCAGGUCCCCGACGCGCUCCGCAGCCUCGGCCUCGCCUUCUUCCUCAGCAUCUUCGGCGUGGGGCACUUCCUCAGCAGCUUCCUCAUAUCCGCCAUCGACGGCGCCACCAAGAAGAGCGGGGCCAGCUGGUUCUCCAACAACCUCAACCGCGCGCACCUCGACUACUUCUACUGGCUCCUCGCCGGGCUCUGCGCCGUGGAGCUCCUCGCGUUCCUCAUCGUUUCGCGCGUUUAUGUGUACAAGAAGAGGGUGGCGCAUCAUGACGACGGUGCUGCUGCUGUCAUGUAGAUUAGGGAAUGGAUAAAACUUUUGCGAUGUGAUUAUUUUGUUGUCAAUGUAUAGUGUAUAGCGUUAUAGUUUCUGGGAGAGAUUUAGCUUGAUCUAUGUACUGGUUCAGCUAUGCCCGAGUUCUAAAAUUCCAAGAUAUUCUGCACAGAUCAAAGUGCAGGUUUUUUUUUGUACUGGUACAACUAUGAUUUGCAAGGACGUAAAUCAAAAUGUUGGAGAAGAGCACAUGGCCCAGCUACAAGCCCACGAGACCGACCAGGAGAAUUACAAAGCCGUGAAGGCCCGAAAGGGGCCGAAAAUACGUAGAACGCAGCUCAUUUCUUUCCAUCUUCAUCUCGUACUUCCCCUGCAAAAAGAAGAUCUGCAUCUCGUAACGUGAUUUCGUGAGAAUGAUGGUGUCAUGGAGUGCACGUAUCAACAAAAGUGUGGACCAUCUCUGAACUUGACAACUUGUAUAUGUGAAGGCGUGAAGCUACUCUUGCAGGUUGUGAUAUUUGAACGCCCAAGGACUCGAUUGUGUGGACAACUUGAUCAAAGAUCCAUAGUCAAUGUUAACAGGUCUCUCGGCCAGAUAUUACUGUUGUCGUUAUUUUUGUACAAAUUUAAACUAAAACAACGACAAGAAUUAUGAAACGGAGGGAGUAUAACACAUUCAUACUAGGAAACAUAAUUAUAUUUAUUGGACAAAUUAUUUAAUUAAUUAGUUCAGUGAAUGGAUCCCUUUAGUGAAUUAGUCUGUAAUCAUCUUUUGCAACGCAAUCAGUACAGUUUACAUAAGAAACCCGAACAAAUAGAAAACAUAGUGGUAAAUUGUGCAGAGCAUGCUGACUAUUCGUAAAGACGUCAAGUAUUUGGACUGCAGAAGGCGAUCCCAAUCAACAAUGUGCAGUGUUCGAUAAUGGGUGGAUGAUAGCACGUGAUAAGAAGGAAAGACAGUUGGUGGCAGGAUAUAAUGUAUACAGCUUUUUGCCGUAAAAAAUACGUAUAUAAGCAUCUUUCGGCUUUUGAGAGCGCCACUGAGUCUGAAUCCCCUCCAAGAUUUUUUUUGACGAACUGAUCCCCUCCAAGAAUAGUACAACUCCAAUGUGGAUAGGGAUGGGUGUAGGCCGGCAUAUACAGCUGCCUAGCUGAGUGACAUCGAUCGGCUUAUAUUGAACUAGCCCAUGGUCCAUGGAGUGUACAUGCGUCUGAUGAAGGAAGCUAGAUUCUUUCUAAUUUUGUCUAUUGAGCACCAUUUCAAGAGCUAACAAAAGGAAAAAAAGAAAGACAACGUCCAAACUGUUGUACUGUAGAAGAUAUUUGGAAAUGUACAAUGCUUCAUAAGAUUGUCUUCUUUUAUACGUUACACCUCGUUCAGAGACCACAAAUAUGCUAGGUUUUAUCACUUAAGUGGAUUAAAUUAAAUAAAUUCGAAGAAAAAGUUGAAAUCUAGUUGCAAUGGCAAAAAAAAGGUGUUAUUAUUCUUGUUAAGAGAUCAUCUUUUUGUUAAGAGAAGGUUCUUGUCUUCUUUCCAUUUCUUUCUCUUCCGCGUCAGAAAUUGUCCUAUCUAACAUUGUUAAAAAAAGUCUGACAUCAUACUAUUGUACUCAUCCUUAGUGCAGUCGUAACUUGUAAAAUCGUCUUCUCUUUUUUGCGAGUAAGAUCGUCUUCCAUUGGCAGUUCACUGCAAUGGCCAAGCACAUCACCUUUCAAUCUUCUAAAUCUAAGGCCACCAAUCGAAGUACCAUAACUCAUGGACGAGAGAUUUAGGUUGAGAGAUUUUCUUUGUUAUCUUAAAGAAAUCUUGUAAAAAAAAUCAGUACUAGUAUCAAUUACAAUUACAAUUAUUAGGGGAUUGAAUGCGCAAACUUUCUAUAUAGAGAUGGUACAGUUUAACUCUCUACUACGCGUCAGAUUCUUCCUAAGUCAUACUUUUUAUUAGCAGUAUCAUAUGGUGAUGACAUCAAGGUCUUGGGUGGGAGGAAGAGGAACACAUGCUUUACUUGGACGCAGAUUCAGCGCAGUUAGUGCAGAGGACUUUGGGUAGUUGACAUGUGAAUCCCACGCCAUGUUGGCCCACAUGUCAGCUACCCAGAGUUACAUGCAGUACUUCACUAAAUCCUUCUCCGCUUUACUUGUGCCGAGCUUUAUGGGUUUUUUGUCCAGGCCGGAGUCGUUUGUUCUUGGGGCUAUGUUUGAUAUCAAAGUAUUAGAAGAUUGAAUGAGCAAAUUUUCUACAUAGAGAUGGUACAGUUGAACUUUGUACUACGUGUCAGAUUCUUUCUAAAUCAUAAUAUUUUUUUAUUAGCGGUGUGAUAUGGUGAUGACAUCAAGGUCUUGGAUUGGAGGAAGAGGAACACAUGCUUUACUUGUGCUGAGCUCUACCAGCUUUUUCCCAGGCCGGGGUGGUUUGUUCUCCGCGGAGUUGCUUUGAACAAAUUUUAUCUACUUAGCAGAACAAAAGAUUUGGGCUAUGUAUCGUAUCAAAGUAUUAAAAAACCAAAGUAUUGACAAACUGCAGUAUUUUAACUUUUAGAUAUAAGUUGGUCUCAUUUCCUUGAAUAAUAAAGCCUUACACAAUGAUAUAUUCUCCUUGAUUAACAUGCGUCCGCAAAAAGGAAAAUAAUACUCCGUGACAAGAAAUGUGUCUUUCUCGUGCACUUCUACUCCUAUUCAUGUCUGUGUUUGUAAGAUAGUUCUAUACACGAGCCAUGCCGGAGUACAAGAGUACAAAACUGCGGCGGUCUAGAUCACGAAUAAUCAGAAUAAGACCGUUAAGCAAUACAGUACCUAACUUUUAGCGUUUGCAGAAUAGUUCUAUAACACGAAUCGUGCGGGAGUAUAACAUUCCCAUCAGGACCUAUACCGUGAUCCGAUCGCCAACUGUUCGUGUCCGUUGCUUUUCCAAAAGUUCCCCAGAAGUCAGAAUUAAGCGCCUAGCUAUAUAGUUACCAUCAAUUUGGAAUCGUGGAGAACGGGAGGUCCGUGCCCGCGGUGCACUAGCGACCUCUUUUCGAGCUGGGCAGAUCUCAGCCGACCACAUCCGAUCAAUCAAACAGGAGCCUAGCUGCGCGUGCCCAUGCUCUCUCGUGCGCCCGUGCAGAAAGUCUCACCCGCGGCACGUGGCAUUCGCACGCGGGGCGCCACGGCGGCACAGGCGCGCGCAUGGCCCGAGCGAGCGCCCACGAGCGGCGCCAAACAAGGCAAGAUAUAAACUCGUAACGUUCAAAAAUGUCAAGAAUGUGCCACCGGAGGAGAUAAUUUGGCACUGAAUUUAUAAUUCGUGUUGCUAUGUAUCUGCUGUUACAAAUGGAACCCAUUAAUGCUGUCCAUCGAUUAUUGCCUCGGGUUGGCACUUGGCACGCUGUUUCCGCCUGCAAUCAGCUGUACCCGUCUCGAUCGGCUUGCACGCAAUCCUGCCCAUCCUUCCUACAUAAAGCCCUGGCCUUCCGUGUCAUGCUUCACCGGAGCCUGUUGACACCCAACCCCGGCCACCACUUUGGAGACAUCACCAUGGGGGACACUGUCUCUGGCGCCGCCGACUACCGCGGCCAGCCCGCCUCCCGUGCCGCCACCGGCGGCUGGAAGUCUUCGAUUUUCGUCAUGGGUGCGUUCCAAUCUCUCUUUGUUCACGCCGACGGCGGGCCUUCUUGUUGUUGAUCGCUUGUUUGCAUGCAGCAAUGGAGAUUGCGGAGAGGUUCGCGUACAAGGGCGUGGCGUCGAACCUGAUCCAGUACCUGACGGGGCCGCUGGGGCAGCCGAUGGCGCGCGCGGCGGCGUCCAUCGACGCGUGGAAGGGCGUCUCCCAGAUGCUGCCGCUGCCGCUCGCCUGCAUCGCCGACGCCUGGCUCGGCCGCUACCGCGCCAUCGUCCUCGCCUCCAUCCUCUUCAUCCUGGUCAGUCACAAGCUCGAUCACAAUUCGAUUCGAGGAGAAGUAUCCCGAUCUCUGAUUUUUCUUUCUCCCUGGAAACUAUCCAGAGCAUGGGCACGUUGUCUCUGUCGUCGGCGGUCCGCAUCUUCGGGGCCGGCGGGCACGUCGCCGUCUUCUACGUGGCGCUGUACCUGGUGGCGCUGGGCGAGGGCGCGCACAAGCCGUGCGCGCAGGCGUUCGCCGCCGACCAGUUCGACGACAAGGACCCCAAGGAGUCCGUGGCGCGGAGCUCCUUCUUCAACUGGUGGUACCUGGGCAUGUGCUCCGGCACCGCCGUCACCAUCAUGGUCUCCAGCUACGUCCAGGACAACGUCGGCUGGGGCCUCGGCUUCGGCAUCCCCUGCAUCGUCAUCGCCGUCUCCCUCGCCGUCUUCCUCCUGGGCACCCGCUCCUACCGCUACUACACCACCAAGGAGCCCAGCCCCGUCGCCCGCGUCGGCAAGGCGUUCUUCACAUUGAUCAAGAGCUGGAGAUCGAAACAUCGCACCAAGUAUGUAACAAUUCGAUCGAACUCCUCAGAUCUGUUUCUUUAAUUGCCCGUGCGACGUCUGCUGAUGUGAAAGUUCGUACGGUGUGCAGCCCGGCGAGCAGUGCCAAAGUCGAGGGCGGCGACAGCGCCGAGGAUCUCGUCGAGGAAGUGAAGAGCGUCUUCCGCCUGCUGCCAAUCUGGGCGUCCUGCAUAAUCUACGCCAUCAUCUUCUCCCAGACGUCGACGUUCUUCACCAAGCAGGCGGCGACGCUGGACCGGCGGAUCGGGCCCAGCUUCAAGGUGCCGCCCGCGGCGCUGCAGACGUUCAUCAGCAUCAGCAUCGUCGUCUUCAUCCCGGUGUACGACCGGCUCUUCGUCCCUUUGGCCCGGCGCUACACGGGGAGGCCGUCGGGGAUCACCAUGCUGCAGAGGGUCGGCGUCGGGCUGGCGCUCUCCCUGGCCGCCGUCGUCCUCUCUGCUCUCGUCGAGAUGAAGCGGCUCCGCGUCGCGUCUGCAGCCGGCCUCGUGAACACCCCGAAGACGCAGCUCCCGAUGACGCUGUGGUGGAUGGUCCCGCAGUACAUCCUCAUCGGCGUGUCCGACGUGUUCGCCAUGAUCGGGCUGCAGGAGUUCUUCUACGACCAGGUGCCCGACGCCGUGCGCAGCCUCGGGCUCGCGCUGUUCCUCAGCAUCUUCGGCGUCGGACACCUCCUCAGCAGCUUCCUCAUAUCGGUCAUCGACGGCGCCACCAAGAAGAACGGGGCCAGCUGGUUCUCCAACAACCUCAACAAGGCGCACCUCGACUACUUCUACUGGCUCCUCGCCGGGCUCUGCGCCGUGGAGCUCGUUGCCUUCUUGUUCUUCUCGCGACUUUAUGUCUACAAGAAAAAGGCCGGCG
rnacentral:lncRNA from 1 species